UACGGGGGGUGCGAGCGUUGUCCGGAAUCACUGGGCGUAAAGGGCGCGUAGGUGGUUUGAUAAGGGUGUGGUGAAAGUCCGGGGCUCAACCCCGGAUCUGCCGUGCCGACUGUCAAACUCGAGGGCUGUAGAGGCAGACGGAAUUCCGGGUGUAGCGGUGGAAUGCGUAGAGAUCCGGAAGAACACCGGUGGCGAAGGCGGCCUGCUGGGCAGUGGCUGACGCUGAGGCGCGACAGCGUGGGGAGCAAACAGG
rnacentral:rRNA from 1 species